CGGUGACUGCGAAUGGCUCAUUAAAACAGUUAUAGUUUAUUUGAUGGUCAUUUUUACAUGGAUAACCAUGGUAAUUCUAUGGCUAAUACAUGCGCAUAUGCUUCCUCCUCUGGAGGGGCAGUGUUUAUUAGAUACAAAACCAUCCCACUUCGGUGGAGACCUGGUGAUUCAUAGUAACCGAACGGAUCGCAUUAUGGCUUCGGCCGGCGAUAGAUCAUUCAAGUUUCUGACCUAUCAGCUUUCGACGGUAGGGUAUUGGCCUACCGUGGCAGUGACGGGUAACGGGGAAUUAGGGUUCGAUUCCGGAGAGGGAGCCUGAGAAACGGCUACCACAUCUAAGGAAGGCAGCAGGCGCGCAAAUUACCCAAUGAAAACAGUUUCGAGGUAGUGACGAGAAAUAACAAUACAGGGCAUAUAAUGCUUUGUAAUUGGAAUGAUGGGAAUCCAAACCCCUUUCAGAGUAACAAUUGGAGGGCAAGUCUGGUGCCAGCAGCCGCGGUAAUUCCAGCUCCAAUAGCGUAUAUUAGAGUUGUUGCAGUUAAAAAGCUCGUAGUUGGAUUUCUGUCGGGGCGUGUCGGUCCGCCGCCUUUGGCGGUGCGUGCUUGGCGUGCCUCGACAUUCUUCCGGUGGCGCUUCCGCACUUAACUGGGUGGUUGCGCGUUCUGCCGGAACUUUUACUUUGAGAAAAAUAGAGUGUUUCAAGCAGGCUUGUCGCCUUGAAUACUGCAGCAUGGAAUAAUAAGAUAGGACUUUGGUUCUAUUUUGUUGGUUUCUAGGACUGAAGUAAUGAUUAAUAGGGACAGUUGGGGGCAUUCGUAUUUAACUGUCAGAGGUGAAAUUUCUUAGAUUUGUUAAAGACGAACUACUGCGAAAGCAUUUGCCAAGGAUGUUUUCAUUAAUCAAGAACGACAGUAGGGGGUUUGAAGACGAUUAGAUACCGUCGUAAUCUCUACCAUAAACUAUGCCGACUAGAGAUAGGGAAACGUCUCUUGUGACUUCUCCUGCACCUCAUGAGAAAUCAAAGUCUCUGGGUUCUGGGGGGAGUAUGGUCGCAAGGCUGAAACUUAAAGGAAUUGACGGAAGGGC
rnacentral:rRNA from 1 species